UACGAAGGGGGCUAGCGUUGCUCGGAAUCACUGGGCGUAAAGCGCCCGUAGGCGGGUCUUUAAGUCCGGGGUGAAAUCCCGGAGCUCAACUCCGGAACUGCCUUUGAUACUGAAGAUCUUGAGUCCGGGAGAGGUGAGUGGAACUCCGAGUGUAGAGGUGAAAUUCGUAGAUAUUCGGAAGAACACCAGUGGCGAAGGCGGGUCUCUGGACAGUUCCUGACGCUGAGGCACGAAGGCCAGGGGAGCAAACGGG
rnacentral:rRNA from 1 species